ensembl:lncRNA
UGGUGUUGUAAAUUAUAAUUCAAGAUUUGAACAGAUGUGAUAAAUUAGGUUUGGUUUAUCGAACAACAAUUAUUUAAAUUCAUUGCCGAGGUUGAGCGCUUGUUGAUGAUGUCACUCACAAAGCACUUUUGGUCGCCACGGAAAUUAUGUUGUGACUGGGGGGUAACGGAGAAAAUUGUUUGUCUUUUAGAAGGAAAAUGUGUGCAUUAGUGUUUUGAGUCACUUUUCAGAAGUUGAUAAAAAUUACAAAAUACAUUUUUUAAAGUAAUUCGAGAGUGGCCAGGAUAGUCAGGAAAGAUGCUAAAAACUAGCAGCUGAUACGCUAGGUGGGCAUCAUAAGAUUUGUGGCGUUUAUUUGGAUUGGAUUAGGCUAUGGGAGAGGGAGACUGGAUGUCUGAAUCGUAAAACAUCGUGAUAAUGGAUUCCGAAUGGUUGUCGAUUCCAGGUUUGAUUGUUUAUGUAACACUGAGCACUGUUUCCAUUGUGUGGAACCAUGUUAGGGUAUUUAAAGUUGAAAAGCAACCUCUAUAGAAAAACAUAACGGCAUAUGUUUCGGGAAAUUAGCUAGGUUGAAUUUGGUUAUUCAAGCUUUUCCCCUGAUACGUAGACAUCCGUAACAGGGGCAAGUGGUUUUUUUCUUGAGGAACUAACAGAUGUAAACGAUUCUUUACUACGGGACGGAUGGAAGUUAUCUAAAAUAAGUCAAUUAAAGGAGCCAUGGGAGAUAUCUGGGAUUAAAUUACGGAUUUCUUACACUGAGAAAUGUACGACAUUUGCGGCAGAGGGAAAAAGUGAUACAUUGGAUAAUAAUGUUACCAGAUUUAAUUGUAUUUAAGGGUAGCAUGUUCAUUUAAGUAAACAUAUACGUAGACGAUGUUUAAAACUUAUGAUUAAUGAUUUGAGUCAAAGGGGAAUUAUCAGUAGGUUUAGUUAUAGUUCACUUAUUGAGUUUCUGAAUCGAAGUAGCAUAGUGAACGCGUGUUGUGUCUCACUUUUAGAAGCCUCCUGGGAUUAUAAUCUUGGGGAGAGUGGGGGAGAGAGCGGCCAUAAACGACCAAAUUGAAAAAGGUCUGGAAGUCUUGAUUAUCCAUUAAGGUUUGCAAAUAUAUACACAUAAAACAAUUGUUAAUACUAUUUGUUUUAGUGCAAAGGUAUUUUAAAGAGGCACGCUCACAUAUGGAACCUUUUGAGUUUUUAUUUUAUGGGUUUUAAUUACAAAGGUGAUUAUUUUUAUUUUAAGGAUAAAGGGUUCUUUAAUAUGUCUAAUAUGGUAUGGAAACAUGACUAAAAAAGGGUGGUAUGACCUUUUGACCUUAUCGUGGCUAUCUUUUGGGGUCUGAUCAGCCCUGGGGGAGAGCCAUUUGUAUAAUGAAUUGUGGUCAGUUGGGUUUCUAAUUUUAAGGUAAAUUAGUUAUAAUGGAGUGUUAGUUUGGGGUUUAGAAUUAUUGUUUGAAACACUGAAGCUGAUUUACAAUAUUAGCUGUGAAGUUUUUGAAUUGGCUAUUAUGGAUUUGAUAUUACAACAGAAAAUAGUUAUAUUUAUCAUUGAGAAUAAAUAGGGGUGAUAAAUUACUGUAGAUAAGGUAUUCCACACUAUGCAACAUAUAUUAAAUUCAUGUUAUUGUCAGAUAGGAUACUGAGGAUCCCUGAAGGAAAGAGCUUGUAAUUCAAUAUGGUUAGCAUUUGUUUUUUCUAAAAUCAAUGAUUUUAGAUAGUCAAACAGUGAGACAUGUAGUUCAAAUUUGGAAACAUGAGAAAAAGAGCUACAGACAGAUAGGGGGAAAAGGCAGACAGAAGAGCCCUCCCCCGCACUGCAGAGACCUUGAAGGUUGGAGAGCAGAGAGGAGAAGUUUUAGAAGUGGAGCCAGGACGAGCAAAGAUACAGAAUGUGUAGAUAACAGUUACUGAAUGGAGACAAAAGGGACAAUUGGACAUAUACAUGAUAAUGUCAGAAAAUAAGGAUAAUUUACUAAUCCUACCUAAGUCAUUAUUUAGGGUAUAUAAGGUUGUUACCUGGGCAGAGCCAGGUAUCAAAAGGGGGGUGGGUAAGUUAGUGGCCUAUUGGAUAUAAGAAACUAAUAAUAAAAUAAAAAACAUUUUUAGCAAACAAAUAGGCAUAUAAGUUAAAGAUAUAAUCAGAUAAAACAUAGGAGAAAAUGUUUGUUAACCAAGCCUGUAUGUCCAGGAUUCUAUGCAUUACAGGUGAACUACAGGUGAAGUCACUCAAUCCAGUCCCAGAGGCUUGUUGGGGGGACCAUACCAAGGACUCCUGGUGACAGCUAGCUGAAAGAGCUACCCAGAUUCGUAUCGCACGGUGGGAGGGUAAGACACAUUGACACUGUCGAACAAUAAACAGUGUUCGAGAGGAGAACUGGAAUUAACAGAAUUCCGGGGGCCAUCUCUCGAAUGAAGAAAAUCCUUCCUGUCUUUUCAUCCCUGUUUUUGUUCAUAGAAGUGAAGGUGUGUCUGGCGCUUGCUAAGUGAUGUGUUCUCGGGGAGAGGGUGGGGCUUCACAUGGAAGCUGUUCAUCUGAGCUGUCUUAUCGUGGGUGACAUAUUCCUGAUACAGCACGUCCUACUUGAGUAUGCGGAGAGUGGUAAUUUGACCCAUGGUUUAGACGAUGAGGAUUUUGUUCCAAAAUAAGCAUAAGAGAUCCCUAGAUCUGGGUAGACAGGAAGUUAGAGUAGAGGUUGGGAAGGAUCUCUCAAUGGAGUUUUAUGUAGACCAACAUGGAGUCUCUAACUACAUGGCAGUCUAGGACUCUGAGCCAUUAUGGCAUAUAUCGGUGCAGGUUCCCAUAUUGAUCGUGGACACAGGUCAUAGCUCAUUUGGAGAGAGAGGGUUAAUAUGAAUCCACUCACCCAGUAUGGAAGAAGGUAGAGUAUAGUGAAGGUGAGAGUUUUUGAUUGUAAUCAGGAGAGAGGGAUGUAUUGCAUAAAGAUACCCCUAACCCUUUAAACAGAAAUGAAGGAGGAUCUAGGGUUGUGGUAUGGACAUGACCAGGUCUUGGUCGACACCCUAGUACGGUUCUGGGUAGAGGAGUUUAGGCCGGUAUGGUAAAGCUGUUCAUUCACCUGUGUGACUGUUUAGUUUUAUGGGGCUGUUGUCUAAUUCCCUGUGUAUGAGGCCUUAUUUCCAGGACUCUGGAGAAAUCGAUGACAAUAGAUGGUGAGAUACCAGGGGAUUCCAGGUUCAGACCCGCGGAGUGCUGAUUGUAUGUCUACAGGACAAGUGGACGAAUCUGGAUCCUUCAGUUGCGGGCAAUUUAUGUUUGAAGAGACCAUUUUUGAUGUUUAGGUUGCAUCCCAUCUAGGUUGCAUCCCAUCUCAAUAUUAGACUGUUUUUUUAUGAAGAUUGUAACGAAAAUCCUGAUAAGAAGAGUUAUGAUUCUGAUGUAGGCCUGAGAAACAGUUAUGGCGAAUGCAAGUAUGGGGUUAUGUUUAGGUGAUGUUUUGAUGACAAGAAAUAUCUCUAAUAAAAAUAAAAUUUUUAUCAAUGAUGACUAAUUAUGUAUACAUUUCAAUCAGGACUGAAUAAUCCGAAUACUGUUAUGUUACUGUACAUGUAUGAAUUUUCUCUCUUGCUCCCAGUAUUGAAUAUAAUGUAGUCAAGAGUUUAGAACAAUGAUGGCCUGUUCCUUGGUACAAAUAAAUGAACUAUCUCCAGAUGGCAGGGACGGACUAUCUCCAGACUGUCUAGAAUGCUUAUCUACACUGACUGACCUUGGCUCUAGGCGAGGAGGGAAGGCUUGAGAUCUAUAGAGCCUUUCUACCAGUGUCAAGAAGAGACGGAACAUUUAGAAAACGCUGACGUCAUUUUCAGUUCAUAACCUGUGGUAAAAUGUGUAUGAACUCAGUACUCUCUUGAAUUAAAGGCUGUUACUUGACUUUUAAGACCGGGGCUCUGUCCAUUCUUAUAAAAUAAGGGUCUUACCCUUAUGCAUUGACAGAGUGUUUAAUUUUGAUUGGGAAUUAAAACAGAGGAAUUAAAUUCCUUCAACAGAAUGCUGUCACCUCUAGGCAGGUGUUUGUCACCCUGUGUGCUGAGGGUGUCAGGUUCUUGUCCGGU